AAAAAGGGAUGUUGAAGUCCUAACCCCUGGGACCUGUGACUGUGAACUUAUGUGGAAACAGGGUCUUUGCAGAUGUGAUGAGGUUAAAAUGAGGUCAUAUUGGAGGAGGGUGAGCCCUUCAUUGAAUUUGACUGAUGUCUUUACAGGAAGAAGAUGGAAAUUUAGACACAGAAAAUCAGAGAGAACACAGUGUGACAGUGGAAGCAGACAUUGAAGUCAUGUAUCUACAAGUCAAGGAAUGCCAAGGAUUGCUGGAAACCACCAGAAGGUCAAUAAUGAUGAACAAUUCACUGUAUACUCUAAUUCUCAAAAAAGAAGAAGGAAAAGAAGAGGAAGAGGAAGAAUCAGUUUGUCAUGUCUCCCUCCUUGCUUCCAUACAAUAAACAGUCCUUAUCUGCCAUUUGAGCCAUCCCUAUUGUACAUUUAGGUCUCUUGGGACAUCCGUAUGUAAAGCUGAGAUAUAGGCGAUGCCCACCAUCUGGUUUGUUACUCCAGAACACUGGUGAGGGAAGUAUGUCAGGUUUUCUCUGUACCAGUUUUCAGGGUAUAUGGUACCCACACUAAGAUGUUCUGAUCCAAGGAAACACUUCGGAGAUCUUCCUGUUCCCAUGGCAAAUAGGUAGGAGAUGAGGCUCUGAAAAAUGUAUCAAAAGAAAAAUGGUUUUUAAAAAAAACUCUGGUUGAAAACAAAAACUGAUAAGCUAGUCAAAUUGAAUAAUUCUGAUUACCAUUUUCCCACAUACUUAUAAUUUCCUCCAGUGAAUAUUAUGUGCAUCUUGGGGCAUUAAUAAAACUUUUAGAGUGUUUGGUCAUUUUUGUGACUGCUGG
rnacentral:lncRNA from 1 species